rnacentral:rRNA from 1 species
UACGGGGGGGCAAGCGUUGUUCGGAAUUACUGGGCGUAAAGGGCUCGUAGGUGGUCAACUAAGUCGGACGUGAAAUCCCUCGGCUUAACCGGGGAACUGCGUCCGAUACUGGAUGACUUGAGUUCGGGAGAGGGAUGCGGAAUUCCGAGGUGUAGCGGUGAAAUGCGUAGAUAUCAGGAGGAACACCGGCGGUGUAGACGGCUCUCUGGACCGUUACUGACGCUGAGACGCGAAAGCUAGGGGAGCGAACAGG